rnacentral:rRNA from 1 species
UACGUAGGGGGCAAGCGUUGUCCGGAAUUAUUGGGCGUAAAGAGCGCGUAGGCGGUCCGAUAAGUCGGCUGUGAAAGUCAGGGGCUCAACCCUUGGAAGCCGGCCGAUACUGUCGGACUAGAGUCCGGAAGAGGCGAGUGGAAUUCCCGGUGUAGCGGUGAAAUGCGCAGAUAUCGGGAGGAACACCAAUGGCGAAGGCAGCUCGCUGGGACGGUACUGACGCUGAGGCGCGAAAGCAUGGGGAGCGAACAGG